AUUGAACGCUGGCGGCAUGCUUUACACAUGCAAGUCGAACGGCAGCACGAAAGAGCUUGCUCUUUUGGUGGCGAGUGGCGAACGGGUGAGUAAUGCAUCGGAACGUACCGAGUAAUGGGGGAUAACUAUCCGAAAGGAUAGCUAAUACCGCAUACGCUUUGAGAAGGAAAGUGGGGGCUCUUCGGACCUCACGUUAUUCGAGCGGCCGAUGUCUGAUUAGCUAGUUGGUGGGGUAAAGGCCUACCAAGGCGACGAUCAGUAGCGGGUCUGAGAGGAUGAUCCGCCACACUGGGACUGAGACACGGCCCAGACUCCUACGGGAGGCAGCAGUGGGGAAUUUUGGACAAUGGGCGCAAGCCUGAUCCAGCCAUGCCGCGUGUCUGAAGAAGGCCUUCGGGUCGUAAAGGACUUUUGUUAGGGAAGAAAAGGAUAGUGUUAAUACCAUU
rnacentral:rRNA from 1 species